rnacentral:rRNA from 1 species
GACGAACGCUGGCGGCGUGCCUAACACAUGCAAGUCAACUUGACUGAAGGAGCAAUCUGACAGUAGAGUGGCGCAAGGGUGCGUAACGCGUAAGUAACUUGCCCAAGGUAAGGAAUAACGUCGAGAAAUCGGCGCUAAUACCUCAUAAUGCAGCGGAUCCGCAUGGAUAUGUUGUUAAAGGUUUACCGCCUUGGGGUAGGCUUGCGUCUGAUUAGUUAGUUGGUGUGGUAACGGCACACCAAGGCUACGAUCAGUAACUGGUCUGAGAGGAUGAUCAGUCACACUGGAACUGAGACACGGUCCAGACUCCUACGGGAGGCGGCAGUGAGGAAUAUUGGGCAAUGCUCGAAAGAGUGACCCAGCAACGCCGCGUGGAGGAUGAAGGUAUUCUAUAUCGUAAACUCCUGUGAGAGCAGACGAAAGACAGAUUAUAAUCUGGAUGACUGUAUGCUCAGAGGAAGCCCCGGCUAACUACGUGCCAG